UAUCGGUUCAGUUUGGCAAUACUUGUGUUGCAGUUAUCGUCAUUCUAGCAGCUGUGCGCUUAUUGACAUGCAUGGCAUAUUUAUUUUCGACGUAGUAAAAAGUGAAAGUCGCCACUCCCGCCCCUUUCUUGGGCAGAGGGUGGUGACCAUAUGUUAGUCAAGCGCAUGUGACUGUGCGACAGACAGAUCAAUAAGUAAUUAAGAUGUAAAAAAUGCAAUUAAAAAGCGAGAAAUUCGAAAUAAAAUUUGCAAAUCCGCGCUUCGAUGAGAAGAUUACUGUUGAAUAAGACAAGCCUAGUAUCGAGGCGAGAACUGGGUCACCAGUGUGAAAAUGCACGAGUAUUGCGUUAUGGUAGAUUUCCAAAAUUUACGGUUAGGUGAGGCAAUCAAAUUGAUAUACGUGGAGCUACGAAUAAUCCAAUUUGGAUAGCUAUAAACGCCUCUCCGUUGUCAC